UUUUUCAUGGUUCUCCAGUGUUGCUGCAGUUCUCUGCUCAUCUUCAUUGUCUCUGUUCAGAUGGACCAUGCCAGCUUCAGAAGGGCCCAGAACGGCACUCUCCUCCUGAAGGCCUCCACUGAGGCUCAGGUUCUGGGCCCGGCGGGCUGGCUACAGGGCCAAGGCACCAGGACAGGUGGAGGAGGGGUUCGUGGAUGAUGCCUGGACCCCACGGUCUUUGUGCCAGAGCCCCUCCGGCAGCACAGCGGCAGCAGGCUGGUCAGGUGAUCCAGCUCUGAGCCAUCCAGUCCUGCCGCCCCGGACCAGCACGCCCCUCCUGAGGCCCCUGAAGAACCGACUCUGCCCUCAUUUCCUCUGACUCUGAGGAGGAAGUUCAGGGUCCUGAUGGUCAGCCAGGAUACCAACAGGUCCUGAAGCUGGCCCGGGCCCUGGUGGAGGUCCGGAGCCUUCAGGGGCUCUCUGAACGCCUGGUGGACAGACUCACAAACAGAGCUGGGGAGCCUGAGGCUGAUCUGACCGACUGGAGGAGAGACACCAUGAGGAGGACACAAGAGCAGGACGAGGGGGCUGAAAGAAGAGGUUUUGAUUUAUUUCAUACAUGACAUGGUUUAUUCUGUCACACUGCAGUUGACCUUUUGUGUAUACAUGAAUAAAUAAGAAGCUUUCUUUGCA